rnacentral:lncRNA from 1 species
UGUGCGUAUUGUUAUGUGUUUACUUUUCUACAUUGGCCAGAGGUAUAGGGGGAGGGUUGAGAUCUCACAAACAUGUUUAACCCCGCCGCAUUUUUGCGCCUGUCCCAAGUCAGGAGCCUCUGGCCUUUGUUAGUCUUGUAUUAUUUUAAUUUUAGUUUCUUGUGUACAAUUUGGAAAUUAGUAUGGCGUUCAUUAUCACUGAACUAGUAUAUAUUUGUUUAGGGGCCAGCUGAAGGACGCCUCCGGGUGCGGGAAUUUUUCGCUACAUUGAAGACCUGUUGGUGACCUUCUGCUGUUGUUUUUUUCUAUGGUCGGGUUGUUGUCUCUUUGGCACAUUCCCCAUUUCCAUUCUCAAUUUUACUAUUUAUUUUAAUUCUGUCAGUAUGUGUUGUCCAUUCAAUAAAAUAAAAUUGUUAUGUGUUUACUUUUUUUAUUCAACCUUUCUGAUUAACAACAUAAUUUUGUACUGAUUCAAUAUAAAC